GCGGCGAACGGGUGAGUAACACGUGGGCAACCUGCCCUCAGCUCUGGGAUAACUCCAAGAAAUUGGUGCUAAUACCGGAUGUGACCGCUGACCGCAUGGUCUGGUGGUGGAAAGAUUCAUCGGCUGAGGAUGGGCCCGCGGCCUAUCAGCUUGUUGGUGGGGUAACAGCCUACCAAGGCGACGACGGGUAGCCGGCCUGAGAGGGUGACCGGCCACACUGGGACUGAGACACGGCCCAGACUCCUACGGGAGGCAGCAGUGGGGAAUAUUGCGCAAUGGGCGAAAGCCUGACGCAGCGACGCCGCGUGAGGGAUGACGGCCUUCGGGUUGUAAACCUCUUUCAGCAGGGACGAAGCGAAAGUGACGGUACCUGCAGAAGAAGCACCGGCCAACUACGUGCCAGCAGCCGCGGUAAUACGUAGGGUGCAAGCGUUGUCCGGAAUUAUUGGGCGUAAAGAGCUCGUAGGCGGUCUGUCACGUCGGCUGUGAAAACCCGAGGCUCAACCUCGGGCCUGCAGUCGAUACGGGCAAACUAGAGUGUUGCAGGGGAGACUGGAAUUCCUGGUGUAGCGGUGAAAUGCGCAGAUAUCAGGAGGAACACCGGUGGCGAAGGCGGGUCUCUGGGCAACAACUGACGCUGA
rnacentral:rRNA from 1 species